AGAGUUUGAUCCUGGCUCAGGACGAACGCUGGCGGCGUGCCUAACACAUGCAAGUCGAACGGGACUGGGGGCAACUCCAGUUCAGUGGCGGACGGGUGCGUAACACGUGAGGAACAUGACUUUCGGUGGGGGAUAGCCGGCCCAACGGCCGGGUAAUACCGCGUACGACCUGUCGGGGACAUCCCCGGUUGGUGAAAGCAGCAAUGCGCCGAAAGAGUGCCUCGCGGCCUAUCAGCUAGUUGGUGGGGUAAUGGCCCACCAAGGCGACGACGGGUAGCUGGUCUGAGAGGAUGGCCAGCCACAUUGGGACUGAGACACGGCCCAGACUCCUACGGGAGGCAGCAGUGGGGAAUAUUGCGCAAUGGGCGAAAACCUGACGCAGCGACGCCGCGUGUGGGAUGACGGCCUUCGGGUUGUAAACCACUGUCGGGAGGGACGAAUGCGCCGCAAGGCGAGUGACGGUACCUCCAAAGGAAGCACCGGCUAACUCCGUGCCAGCAGCCGCGGUAAUAC
rnacentral:rRNA from 1 species